AUCCCGCGGAGCUGCGGCCGCCGCCGCGGGAGUCCCCUCAGUCGCUGCCGCCGCCCGGCCCUCGUACGGCCAGCCCAGUCCAGAGCGAGGAAGUGGAGGAGAGUCAGCGAAGUUCACAAUGGAAGAAAGAAUGGCCAUAGCUGUGCCCUUGGUGACUCUAGGUAGAUGCCAAUCCUACAUCUCCUCCAGGCCACUGUUGGUUGCACUUCUGUGUUUACUAUGCUCCUCUGAAAAACCAUGCUGCAGAAACUGUGAAGAUCUGUGAUUAAGGUAUUUUAGAACACGACUUUAGAAGCCAAUCUGAAAUCAUGGACAUUACUAAUGGAAGAUAAAUGUUCUAAUUGGUUAUAUGCAAGCAGGAAAAAUGGAGGGCAUUUACUGGAUUGCCUGGACUUUCUCAAAUAACUAAAAAAACUUAUUGAAAGCUUGUUUAGAAGUGAUUCAAAUAAUUCAAACUUUGAAAUGAUGUCACGUUCUAAAGAUGGUCCCAGGGUUCAGUAUGCCCUGCAAUCAGCACACCCCCAUCUGACUGCUGUGGGAGCAGCUGCAUUAUCUGCAUUUGGCCAAGUAAGCAAACUCUGCACCGUGUCACAGUGUUUGUUGUUUGCUAAUGGGCUAGUGGUUAAAAACUGCUUAAAAACUCUAAUUACACAUUUUCAGAUAAUGCAGAGGUGGCAUAUGGUUGGCUUCAUUACUUGAAGAUAUACACAUACAGACUUUACUUGUAUACUUUGUCUGGUGCAUAGUAGCUAUUCAAUAAAUGCUUUAUAAAUGCCUGAAAAUGA